rnacentral:rRNA from 1 species
AAUGGGGGAAACCCUCAUGCAGCGAUGCCGCGUGAGUGAAGAAGGCCCUUGGGUUGUAAAACUCUUUCGUCGGGGAAGAAAAUGACUGUACCCGAAUAAGAAGGUCCGGCUAACUUCGUGCCAGCAGCCGCGGUAAUACGAAGGGACCUAGCGUAGUUCGGAAUUACUGGGCUUAAAGAGCUCGUAGGUGGUUAAAAAAGUUGAUGGUGAAAUCCCAAGGCUCUACCUUGGAACUGCCAUCAAAACUUUUUAGCUAGAGUGUGAUAGAGGUAAGUGGAAUUUCUAGUGUAGAGGUGAAAUUCGUAGAUAUUAGAAAGAACACCAAAUGCGAAGGCAACUUACUGGGUCACUACUGACACUGAGGAGCGAAAGCAUGGGUAGCGAAGAGGAUU